UGGGUAAUAUUGCACAAUGGGCGGAAGCCUGAUGCAGCGACGCCGCGUGGGGGAUGAAGGCCUUCGGGUUGUAAACUCCUUUCGACAGGGACGAAGCUUUUGUGACGGUACCUGUAUAAGAAGCACCGGCUAACUACGUGCCAGCAGCCGCGGUAAUACGUAGGGUGCGAGCGUUGUCCGGAAUUACUGGGCGUAAAGAGCUCGUAGGUGGUUUGUCGCGUCGUCUGUGAAAUUCCGGGGCUUAACUCCGGGCGUGCAGGCGAUACGGGCUGACUUGAGUGCUGUAGGGGAGACUGGAAUUCCUGGUGUAGCGGUGAAAUGCGCAGAUAUCAGGAGGAACACCGAUGGCGAAGGCAGGUCUCUGGGCAGUAACUGACGCUGAGGAGCGAAAGCAUGGGUAGCGAACAGG
rnacentral:rRNA from 1 species